AUUGAACGCUGGCGGCAGGCCUAACACAUGCAAGUCGAGCGAGCGGCGGACGGGUGAGUAAUGUAUGGGGACUGCCCGAUAGCGGGGGAUAAAUACUGGACACGGUAGCUAAUACCGCAUACUAUAGGAUAACCCAUAUGGGAUUAGCUAGUAGGUGUGGUAAUGGCUCACCUAGGCGACGCUCCCUAGCUGGUCUGAGAGGCGGAUCAGCCACACGGGAACUGAGACACGGCCCAGACUCCUACGGAGGCAGCAGUGGGGAAUAUUGCACAAUGGGCUCAAGCCUGAUGCAGCCAUGCCGCGUGUAUGAAGAAGGCCCUAGGGUUGUAAAGUACGUUCAGUCGGGAGGCGUUACCGACAGAAGAAGCACCGGCUAACUCCGUGCCAGCAGCCGCGGUAAUAC
rnacentral:rRNA from 1 species